GAAACCAAAUAAAAGGGCCCCCCUCACAAAACCCUCGAUACUCUCCAUCAGUGCCCUAUCUGCCUCACGAAGCCUCUCUCGCCAUUCUCUCUCACCCUCGUCUCUCACAGACCACAUUCUCAAGCCUCAUAGUAAGCACCUCAUCUUCUUCAAGCGAGCUUCUAUUUUGCAAGCUUUCAUCUUCUUCAACAAGCUAAAGAAAAGAUGGCUCGAAAUGAGGAAAAGGCUCAGUCAAUGCUCAAUCGAUUCCUCGCAUUCAAGAACGAAGAGAAGAAGAAACCAAAAGAGCGUCGCCCUUACCUAGCCUCCGAGUGUCGAGACCUUGCUGAAGCUGACAAAUGGAGGCAGCAGAUAAUUCGAGAAAUCGGUCGCAAAGUCAUGGAAAUUCAAAACCCUGGAUUGGGAGAACAUAGAUUAAGAGACCUCAAUGAUGAAAUCAACAAAUUGAUCAGAGAGAAAGGCCAUUGGGAACACAGAAUCGUUGAGCUUGGUGGCCCCAAUUAUGCAAGAACAGGUGCUAAAAUGACUGAUUUGGAAGGAAACAUUGUUGAUGUUCCAAACCCUAGUGGUAGAGGCGCUGGUUAUCGUUAUUUUGGAGCUGCAAAGCAUUUGCCUGGUGUUAAAGAGUUGUUUGAGAAACCACCUGAAACUAAGAAGAGGAGGUCUAGAUAUGAAAUUUUUAAGAGAAUUGACGCUAGUUAUUAUGGGUAUCGAGACGACGAAGAUGGGAUUCUUGAGAAGCUUGAGAAACCAGCUGAAGAGGAGAUGAGGAUGAAUGCAUUGAAAGAAUGGGAGAGCAUUGAAGCAGUGAAGAGAGAGGCAAGGAGGUCGGUUAAGAGUGGGGAAGUUGUUAAUGUGAUACCCAUUUUGUUUGAAGAGGAGGAGGAGAUUGUUGAGGAGGAGAGGAAGGCUAGAGAGAAAGAGAGGAGUAAGGAGCAAAAGGAGUUUAUUGUUCAUGUGCCUCUUCCUGAUGAAAAGGAGAUUGAGAGGAUGGUUUUGGAGAAGAAGAAGAUGGAGCUUUUGAGCAAGUACACGAGUGAGGGGCUUUUGGAGGAACAGAUUGAAGCAAAGGCCAUGCUUAAUGUUAAGCAAUAAAUGUUGCUUUCUUUUGGGAGGAGCUCUGGAUCAAAGAAUGGGUAGCCUAAAAAAAUCCCAGGCUAAUGAUGAUGACAGAGUAGUAAUAACCAAGUCCCCUCACCCCAAGCCCUCCUCCACUAAGUACUAAACCUGGUGCUUAUGCUGCUCUUGCCUCCAUGAAUUAUGCAGAUUUUUGGGUCAAUUUUUGGAUAAUUGAUGACUAAGAUGACAUGAUCACCUCGUGAGCGAUAAAAAUGCUUCUCAAACCAUAUCAGAUUCUGGCUAUUCAAAUAGAAGGAAACAUUUUCAUGUACAGGCCUGAGCACUGCAAAUGGCAAUUCGUCAUUGAUUCCCCUCUAGUUUUCCCUACAUUAUCUGGGGAUCUUGAAGUUCAAAGCCAGAUCCUUUGAAAAGGCUGAAAAUGAUUGCAGAGAGGAAAUUAAAGAAUAUGUAGGGAUUCUUGAAAUUGUAAGAGGCAAUGAUUUUAAUAAAUGUAAAGCAAAAAACAUGUGGUGAUGGUUCAUCUUUGACUAAACUCUUCCUUGUAAUUACAUUUCUUUGGUGCUACUUUGUAACUUAGGGUAUUUCGCACACGUAAAUUACCAACUAAAAAAUGUGGAUUGAAAUAAGCUUGUUCGUAAUGGUAUUGUUUUGCAUUUACUUGCUA